AGAGUUUGAUCCUGGCUCAGGAUGAACGCUAGCUACAGGCCUAACACAUGCAAGUCGAGGGGCAGCGGGGGCAGAGCUUGCUCUGCCUGCCGGCGACCGGCGCACGGGUGCGUAACGCGUAUCGAACCUCCCCCAUACUCGGGAAUAGCCUUGCGAAAGUAAGAUUAAUGCCCGAUGGUCUCAGAAUAUGACAUCAUGCUUUGAGUAAAGAUUCAUCGGUAUGGGAUGGCGAUGCGUCUGAUUAGAUAGUUGGCGGGGUAACGGCCCACCAAGUCGUCGAUCAGUAGGGGUUCUGAGAGGAAGGUCCCCCACAUUGGAACUGAGACACGGUCCAAACUCCUACGGGAGGCAGCAGUGAGGAAUAUUGGUCAAUGGUCGGAAGACUGAACCAGCCAAGUAGCGUGAAGGAUGACUGCCCUACGGGUUGUAAACUUCUUUUAUGCGGGAAUAAAGUGCCCCACGCGUGGGGUAUUGCAUGUACCGCGUGAAUAAGCAUCGGCUAAUUCCGUGCCAGCAGCCGCGGUAAUACGGAAGAUGCGAGCGUUAUCCGGAUUUAUUGGGUUUAAAGGGAGCGUAGGCGGAGGCUUAAGUCAGUGGUCAAAUCGUGUGGCUCAACCAUGCGUCGCCGUUGAUACUGGGUCUCUUGAGUGCACAUAAGGAUGGUGGAAUUCGUCGUGUAGCGGUGAAAUGCUUAGAUAUGACGAAGAACUCCGAUUGCGAAGGCAGCUGUCCGGGGUGUAACUGACGCUAAUGCUCGAAAGUGCGGGUAUCAAACAGGAUUAGAUACCCUGGUAGUCCGCACAGUAAACGAUGGAUACCCGCAGUCGGCGACACAAUGUCGGCUGCCAAGCGAAAGCAUUAAGUAUCCCACCUGGGGAGUACGCCGGCAACGGUGAAACUCAAAGGAAUUGACGGGGGCCCGCACAAGCGGAGGAACAUGUGGUUUAAUUCGAUGAUACGCGAGGAACCUUACCCGGGCUUGAAUUGCAGGCGACGGGGCGAGAGAUUGCCCUUUCUUCGGACGCCUGUGAAGGUGCUGCAUGGUCGUCGUCAGCUCGUGCCGUGAGGUGUCGGCUCAAGUGCCAUAACGAGCGCAACCCCUGUCUCCAGUUGCCAUCAGGUGAUGCUGGGCACUCUGGAGAUACUGCCAUCGCAAGAUGUGAGGAAGGUGGGGAUGACGUCAAAUCAGCACGGCCCUUACGUCCGGGGCUACACACGUGUUACAAUGGGGGACACAGAGGGCCGCCACCGGGUGACCGGGCGCCAAUCCAUCAAAAUCCCUCUCAGUUCGGACUGGAGUCUGCAACCCGACUCCACGAAGCUGGAUUCGCUAGUAAUCGCGCAUCAGCCAUGGCGCGGUGAAUACGUUCCCGGGCCUUGUACACACCGCCCGUCAAGCCAUGAAAGCCUGGGGUGCCUGAAGUCCGUGACCGCGAGGAUCGGCCUAGGGUAAAACAGGUGAUUGGGGCUAAGUCGUAACAAGGUAGCGUACCGGAAGGUGCGGNUGGAUCACCUCCUUUCU
rnacentral:rRNA from 1 species